UGCGGUGGCGCCGCUCCCGCUGCCCAUCCCGGCGCUCCCGGGGUAUUCCCGGUGGGAGCGGGCCGAUAUCCGGACCCCCCGAGGCUCUGCAGGAGGAGGAUGAGGAGGAUGCCGCUCGGCGCACCGGGGGAGCCGCAGCCCCGGGAGGCGCCGGGCGCUGCCGGCGGAGGUGGAGGUUUCGACAUUCCUGCGGGGACAGCUCCCGUCGGCCCCAGGAGCUGCUGGAACCUCCUUGUGCCAGCGGUGGGGACACCAGGACAGGAGUGGCACUUGUCCCCUCUGCCGGGGAAAGGCUCCCGAGCCAGGGUUUGGCCCUGGCUGGUUCCUCUGCGCUGGGAUCCCGAGCCCCGAGCCUCGCCUGGCGUUUGGAUGCUCCCUUCUGUCUGCAGCUGGGAAUGGCACGGCCGUGCCUCCUGCUGCUCCCAGAUCCCGUGGAUUUACUGCUGUUGGCACCGUCCUGCUGGGACGGCCUCUGGCUCCAGCACAGGGAAUCUCCCGAGGGACUGA
rnacentral:lncRNA from 1 species